rnacentral:tRNA from 1 species
AGCAGCGUGGCUCAGUGGAAAGAGCAUGGGCUUGGGAGUCAGAGGUCAUGGGUUCGAAUCCCACUCUGCCA